UCUGUCCUGUAGGCAAGGAUGAAAUGUAGAAUAAAGACUCACAUGCACGCCCCACAGUAAAAGGCAGAUGAUGAGCUAAUAAAAUCUCUUUCAAAGAAUCUUAGCCAUACUGGCAUGUCUUUGUGUUAAUGACCAACUGGCCAACUAUUAAUACUCCACUUUUCUGACCUGUCUUCAUAAGUUGUAAUUCGUGAAUUUCAUUCAUUCUAAGAUGCACAUAUUUUCCCUCCAUAUUUUUAUAUUAACAUCUUUAAAGUCAACAUUUGUUUUGCGAUUGAUGUCAUCAUACAUUUGCUGAAAUGUACCUGCUUCUUUUCUACUCUUUCCAUAGUUGAAAACACCAGUGGAUUUUCAGCAGAAACACCAAUAUUAAAUACACCUCUUCCACAUUUCCAUUUGAGAUGACAACAAGAAACAGUAAUAAAUCAGCAGGAAACAUAGACAACAAACUAACAAGCAGUUUGUCACCAGAGAAUGCACAGAGCUAAAUCUGAAAGACUAACUUUAACAAUCAUGACUUAGGUGUUGUAUAGAAGGAAGUCAGUGGAAAUGGAAGUUUGUUUGGUUCUCAGCCUCUAUCUAUUUAAGACUUUGUGAACAUUCCUAUAUUUGUUCAAUAUUUCAAUUAAUUAAAUUUAUCCCAAAGGGACUUUAACUUAAGUGAGGUACCAGGAAUAGUCAAUUCAUUGAGAUAGAAAGUAGAAUGAUGCUGGCCAGGGUGUUGGAGGAGGGGGAGUUGGGAGCUAAUGUCUAAUGGACAGAAAGUUUCCAUUUGAGAAGAUGAAAAAGUUCUGGAGAUGAUGGUGGUGAUGAUCGUACAUCAAUGUGAAUGUACUUAAUAGUAGUAAAAUGUACAUUCAAAAAUGGUGAAAAUAGCAAAUUUUACAUAUAUUUUGCCACAAUAAAAAAGACAUACUUUGGGCGGCCGAGGCGGGUGGAACACGAGGUCAGGGGAUUGAGGCCAUCCUGGCCAACAUGGUGAAACUCCGUCUCUACUAAGAACACAAAAAUUAGCUGGGCAUGGUGGCACGUGCCUGUAUUCCCGGCUAUCAGGAGGCUGAGGCAGAAGAAUCGCUGGAACCAGGUAGUUGGAGGUUGCAGUGAGCAGAGAUUGUGCCACUGCACUCCAGCCUGGUGGCAGAGCAAGACUCUGACAAAAAAAAAAAAAAAAAAAAAAAAAAAAAAAAAAAAAAAAAAAAAAAAAAAAGAGGCUAUAACUAAAAGACACUUUGAGGAAUGAUAUUAAAGAGUGAAUGCAAGGCCAGGCAUGGUGGCUCACACUUGUAAUCCCAGCACUUUCACAGGCUUAGGCAUGUGAAUCGCUUGAGUCCAGGAGUUUGAGACCAGCCUGAGCAAUGUGGCGAAACCCCAUCUCUACAAAAAAUACAAAGAUUAGCCAGGCAUGGUGGCAUGCACCUGUAGUCCCAGGUACUCAGGAGGCUGAGGGGAGAUCACUUGAGCCUGGAAGGUAGAGGCUGCAGUGAGACGAAAUGGCACUUCACUGCACUCCAGCCUGUAUGAUAGAGGGAAACCCUAUCUCAAAUGAGUUGAUGCAGUAGGGGAUAAAAUAAAUAGAACCAAACUAGUGUUGAUUUAAAAUUAACACACAAUAUAUUCAGAUCUAAAAGUGAUUUUAUCACUCCCCUUGGAAAUACCGAUGAAGAAGUCCUGUGGAUUGGGUGGAACCCCUGUUCUCAUUCCUCUGCAGCCCAAGCCGUGUACAACUCAGAUGGACUCAGACAACUCAGAGUUUGCUCAUAAGGAAAUACAACAAAGAGAUUGUCUCAGAGAAGCAAAGGAACAGACUGUAGACACGAGGCACAAAAAUAUCUCAUGCCAGUUCCACAGAAGUCAAACCCUUCCUCACUUAAGGAAAAUUGAAAGUCUCUAAAAUAUACACUGAAAACAAGUUUGACAUUUUGGGGCUUCUUAGUCAAAAGGAGUGGGGCCUUUCAGAAGGGAAAGUUACACUCCGUACAGUAUCAGUUUUCUCAAGUGUAAAGAGGAGGGCAGCUCUCCUAAGUUCCAAAGCAGGAGCCACUGUCGGAGCUCAUGGCUCUAAGCCCCAAACCACCCGUUUCCUGAGGUUUAGCCCUUUGAGCAUUGAUAAAGCAGAAAGAGUGGUUACAUAGGUCCCUCACAGUGUGGUAAAACCAGUCAUCUCUCUGCUAACUUGGCAGAAUUAUGUAUGUAACCCAGGUAAGUGGUUUGCACAUGGUGCUCCCUUAAGGUGAAUUUUGCAAUUAUUUCUCUGAUUUUAGUGAUCUCUGAUCAGGAAUAGGUUAUUUAAAAAUGACUUUGAUAUAUACUCUAGAAAUGUAAGAAAAUUAUUUUAACAUAUUGAGCCUCUUGAAGAAGAAUAUUUCUAUGAAAGAACAAGAUUUAAACUCUGGAAAUGUAAGAAAAUUAUUUUAACAUAUUGAGCCUCUUGAAGAAGAAUAUUUCUAUGAAAGUACAAGAUUUAAACCACUACACACUAAAAGCAAGAGGGCCAAGGAGGCGUCCAUUGAAGAUGGACCUCAAUCCCUUGGGGCAACAGAAAGGCAAUACAAGUAAGUAUUUCCAGCACUCUGGUAAGUCUGUAGCUUCAACAUCUGUUCUAAAAGAUCAAUUUAGGAAAAUCAAAGAUGGAUUUGGGAUUGGCCUUUGAGUGUCCAAAGUCCCCCCAGGCAGGAGAAGUGGAGGUCGGGGGAGGGAGCUGCUCAGGGCAGCCUUCGAAAGGGGAUGACACAGCGGGGUGAGAGUAAUGCUAAAAGAAAAUAAAAACUCGAGAUUCCAAUUCACUACACCAAAAGGAAAAAUGAAGCUGAACGCUGAGUUAUGCAAAAAGCUGCCUUUCCUUUUGUUCCUAACAAGAAAGCUGCAGAUACAAGGUUAAACAUCCCCACUGGUAGCUACUGCAUGUUCACCUUAUCUUGUGUACAGUGCCGAUUUACUGAGUGAGAUGAAUACUCAAUUGAUGAUUCCCUGCCUGCUCCUUUUCCCUUGCAACCUGUGGAUUCAGUAGUGGGACCAUAACCUUACUCUUUCCCCUCUAGCCCACUUCUCCCCUUUAAAUAUUGAAGCUCUCAAAAUAAAUCAUCUUUGGAGAAAGGCACAAACCACAGACUGUGUUUCUGGGAUUCUGUAUUCCUUUCUCCUGGCCUAUCCUUAACCUUGGCAAAAUAAACUCAAUUGAUUGAGACCUGUCUCAGAUACUUUUUACAGUAAACAGGGUGGGCUUCUAGAAUUAUGAUGCUCAGCUGCCUGAACCUCGAUUCAACAGAUGUGUCCUUGUGUUGGAGAUGAGAACAGAAGUGGAAUCUGCAGAAGCCUGAGUGGUCACAGGAUCCUGCCCCAUCAGUGAUGCUGGACAAGGCUCAGUUGCAGCUCAGGUGGGACUCAGCAGGCCAGAGACAUGCACAGCUCUGGACUUCCCAGCCUUGCCCUUCUAGGCCUAUGAUGCUGUGACCCUGCCCUGCAACCUCUCCUAUGUCCUCUGACUCCCCAGGACCAUCCACCUGCUGUUCUCUCCACCUGGAGUGCUGUCCUCUACAGCCAUGCCUCUGGGCUUCCCCGGCAGGUUUCUUCUCAUCCCUUUCAAUCAGACUCAAACAUCUGCUUCUCUAGAUUCCUUGGCUCACGGGUUCUCAAGAUUGAGUUGGUAUCAGGGCACCCUGGAAGGGCUCAUUCAUUAAAACAUGGAGUGCCAGGCUGUGCUUCUGGAUUUCAGCUGCAGCAGGUCUGUGGCUGGGUCUUAGAAUUUGCAUUUCUAACAAAGCUCGGUUGCUACUGCUGAUGCUGGACCAAGGACUACACUUUGAGAAGUGUAAGUCUGCUCUGGGCAGUCUUAGAAGCCACCAUUGAUUUCUAUUUCAGUUUACCCAGGUGUCAUUAGUACACACAGCUCCUAAGACCCCUGUGAUCUCUGGAAUAUGGAAUUUUCAGUCCCCACUCCCCCACCUCACCAACAUCCAGAGAGGGGAGAGAGGCUUGAGACUUGGCUAAUCACUAAAGGCUGAUGAUUCAAUCAAUCAUUCCGAUGUCAUUCAACCUCUUUAAUGACAGAGUUCAGAGAGAUUGGUAGUUGGUAAACACAUCCACAUGGUGGGGGUGCACAUCCCAACUCCAAGGGGUCAAACGCUCCUGUGCUCGGGACCCUUCGAGAUCUCAAGACCUAUGUAACUCUUCGUCAUUUGUAACCUUUGUAGUAAACCCAUGAUCGUCAAUCAAGUGGCUUCUUGAGUUUUAUGAGCCAUUUUAGCAGAUUAGCAAACCUGAAAGGGAAAGCCUGUGGGAACCCCUGACUUUGUAGGCAAGUCGUGGGUACCCAUGAGACUCAAGACUGGAAACUGGCAUCUGAGGGGAGGAAAGUCUUGGGGAAUUGAGCUCUUAACCCUCUGGGGUCUGAUGCUAAUUCCAGGUAGUCAGUAUCAGAACUGAACUGAAUUGUAGGACACCAAGCUACCAGCAUCUAGAGAAUUGGAGAACUGGUUGUUAGUGUGGAAAAACUCCACCAAUUUGGUGUCAGAAGUGCUGUGAAUAAAAACAGCUCAUGUCCGGCUAGCUCAGCUUUAUGCACAUUUGCCCUGAAAAAUGAUAGCAGUAACAUCUUUUCCUCUCAAAGCAUCCCAGUUGUUUGCAUUACAUUGCGGUUUCCAUUACGUUGCAGUUUGCAUUACGUCGCAAUUUGCAUUACAUCCCAGUAAUGCAUUACAUGGUGACUCUAAUUAUAAGGUUCUGUUAACAUUUGUGUGUCAUCUGUUGGAACAGAUUUCUUGGGGGCAGAGUGCAUGUGUUAUUCAUUGUUAUAAUUUCAGUAGCAUGCAUGGAUUAGUUUGUCACUUCACUUAUUAAGUAGUUUUUGAGCCACUGGAUAAUUCUGUUAUAUAAGCUUGGACAAGUUAGUAGUGGAUUAACUAAUACUUAUUCCCCCAAACAUUAUCAAAAUAGGGGAUAUUCUUUUCUUUAUAUAUUACUUAAGGGCAAACUGGGGCACAAUUUCAAUGACUGACUCAUGCAUUAAUGCUGAGAUGCAAUAUGAAGAUGUUUUAUGAACCCACUUUCCACUUGCUAACUAGGGCUGAGAGACUAUUAAAUUAGAAAAAGAAACAAAUGUUUGUUUAAAAAUGUUCUGCAGAAAAUCUUACGGACUUCCUUAAGUGUAAUAGUUAUGAUAACCCGAUUUAAAUAAGAAACAUACUGAAUAACCACACUAUUUUUCUAAAACUGUUAGAAGUCUAAUGAAUACAAAUGAAAAUUAAUCUGUUCCUUUCCUUACACUUACUUUUCAAGUUUAAAGUCCAUUUUUUAAUUCUUAACCAAACUCUUACGGCUUUUUAGGAGGUGUGAUUCUAUAAAUAAUGGCUUCAGUUUGGUUUCCUGUUUUGAAAUUAAAAACAUGUGAAAUUCAAACCUUCUGUUCAAGUCUGAACAGAGUCAUGCCUUUAUGAUCACUGAUGAUUCUGCGCAAGGUACGGUCUCUUAACUAAGCAAAUAAGGAAUCUGUUUUGCUUUGAAAUAGAAACAGAAGUUGGCUUUAUUAAUGUCCUUAGUUUUCUUUCUUACUGGAGACAUUUGUUUAGCUUCACUCUUGAGCUGCCUCAGUGUGGGCAAAGUCCCAAGUCCAAGUCCCAGAACUUUUACCUGUUAAUUGGAUAACAGGGAAGUCUGGAUCUAUUAAGUCAUGUGAUAAUUUAGUAACAAUGUAGUAAAACAAUUUAAAACUCAAUGAAAAACACUGUGUUUGUCCAAUGCAGGUGCAAGUUUUGCCUCGGCCAAUUAUUUCUUAGCUGUGACUUUAGAAAUCUUUUGUUUUCCUUAAUGAGGCAUUACUAGCAUUUUAGGCAACAACAUUCCUUGUUAUGCAGCACAGCAGUGCAUAUUGCAAGACCUUUAGCAUCCCUGGAUCCUGCCCAGUAAAUGUCAGUAGCAUCCCUCUCCCAGUUAUCAUGACAACUAAAAUACUGCCACGGGUUUCCAAAUGCUCCUUAUGAGGGACAGUAGAAUCUUCAGUUGAGAAUGCUGAUGGAUGAGAAGCACAUAAGGUAAGUAUAUAAUUAGGAAAUAACAGAGGAAUGUAAAGUGUUCCUUUGAAAGUUUUAGCAAUUAACAGAAAUAGAGCAAAAAGAAGAUCAGGUAGCAGGUUCCAAAAAAACUUACUUAAGAAAAUAAUGAUGAAAAUGCUACAAAAGAUAAACUGUGGAAUGUAGCUAAAGCAGUAUUCAGAGGACAAUUCAUGGCCUUAAAUACUUAUGUCAAUAUAUGAGUAAGAAUAAAAAUAAGUGAACCAGAUAUUUUUAAUUAGGAUGUUAGAAAUAAAGGAUAGCCCAAGAAAGCAGAAAGAGGGAUCUGAUGUAGAAACAAAAGUCAAUAUAUUAGAAACAGAAGUCAAUAUGUUGAACAUAAUAACAUACAACUUUGCAUACCUUCUUCUUUCACACUCUCCUCUGUAUCACAGGUUCUAAAAAUCAGGAGUACAUUUUCUAACUCUCAUAUCUGUGAAGCUUUCAGUGAGAUCCCACUAAUCAGAGGCACUAGCAUGAGAUUUGGAAGGUGGAGGAGUGAGAAGCCACAUGCUCCCAUCUCUGGAAGCAGUGGAUGUAAGGAUGGGCUUUGGAAGAUGCAAAGGUCUGUGGCCACCUUCAAGCAUUUUCCUGGGAAUCACUUGCUCCAGUGCUGGAUUAUCUGUAAUCAUCACCAAUGAUCUCUAAAAUUUUCUGCAACUUUCUGACUUUUCAAAAUCCGGAGUAACUCUGAGAACUACAGAUGUCUGGCCUUUACUCCUUCAAUCUCUCUCUUUAUUUUGUAAACAACAAAUCCUCUGUAUUAAAUAACUUCUUGCUUGAAAUACCUAGAAA